GUGUCAGCAGCCGCGGUAAUACAGAGGGUGCAAGCGUUAAUCGGAUUUACUGGGCGUAAAGCGUGCGUAGGCGGUUCAGUAUGUCGGUCGUGAAAUCCCCGGGCUUAACCUGGGAACUGCGGCCGAAACUGCUGGGCUUGAGUGUGGUAGAGGGCGGUGGAAUUCCGGGUGUAGCGGUGAAAUGCGUAGAGAUCCGGAGGAACAUCAAUGGCGAAGGCAGCCGCCUGGGCCACAACUGACGCUGAGGUACGAAAGCGUGGGGAGCAAACAGGAUUAGAUACCCUGGUAGUCC
rnacentral:rRNA from 1 species